rnacentral:rRNA from 2 species
GUUGGUGGCUAUACAGAAGAGGCCCCACCCAGCUCCAUUUCGAACCUGGAAGUUAAGCUCUUCAUCGCCGAUAAUACUGCCGGGUCCCCUGGUGGAAACGUAGGUCGCUGCCAACU